rnacentral:lncRNA from 1 species
GAAACCCCUGUCACAUACUCCCUAGAUGGCUCAAUCAAUCAUGACACUUUCAUGUAAAAUCUUUAGUAUUGUGAGCCCUUAAAAGGGACAGAAUUUGUGCACUCAAGAAGCUCGGAUUUUGAGAUGUUAGUCUGCUGAUGCUUCCAGCUGACUAAAGCCACUUCCUCCACUCCCUCAGUGUCUGUGAGGUUUUGUCUGCAGCUCAUCCUGCUACAUUUCUUGUUUCCCUGAUCAGGAAGCGAGGUAACUGACGGACGGCUGAGGCAUCCCCUUAGGCAGCUUAGGCCUGCUCUAUGGAGCAUCCCUGUGGGAGACUCUGGCCUGCCUUAGUGACGUGAUCCAAAGAGUGAUCCCAGGUAGGCAAUUGCCCUGGUGGAAUGCCUUGCCAGAGCAGCAUGUGCCAGGCCCACAUGGAGGAUCAACGCAGUGGCUGAACACAAGGGAGGAACUGGCACUUGGAGUGCAGACAUCUGAAACUUGCAUAUAGAAAUCUCGGGCAAGACUGAUUGAAAAUAAAAGAUAAGAGAAACAACUGAAUGGUCUCAAGCAUCCCAGCCAAGACUGGUUGCUGAGUGAUUGAAAGCUGAUUCCCAGAUGCGUGAAAGAGCCCAGGCAGGGCGGAGGGCCACCUAGAAUGAGAAAAACUUAUGGUACUUUCAUCUGCCACCGAAUGUCCUGGGUCUUUAAAACCUCCAAAACUCUAACUGAACCGGAAGCUAUGUGUGGUUUUUGCAUGAAGAGGAGCAGGAGUCUCGAAGGCACAGCCAGAGUUUCACUGGGCUUUUUCUGAAAUCCACUUCCAUGUGCAGUACCCUGGAAACUCUCUGUUUACGAGCCUGGAAAGCUGUGGGGUUCAAUUCCUUGUUUUGCCCAUCUCUCAUUGCCUUUUGCUGACUGUCAUUAAAAGUG